UACGGGGGGGGCAAGCGUUGUUCGGAAUUACUGGGCGUAAAGGGCUCGUAGGCGGCCAACUAAGUCGGACGUGAAAUCCCCAGGCUCAACCUGGGAACUGCGUCCGAUACUGGAUGGCUUGAAUCCGGGAGAGGGAUGCAGAAUUCCAGGUGUAGCGGUGAAAUGCGUAGAGAUCAGGAAGAACACCGGUGGCGAAGGCGCUCUGCUAGGCCGCAACUGACACUGAGGGACGAAAGCUAGGGGAGCGAACAGG
rnacentral:rRNA from 1 species